rnacentral:rRNA from 1 species
GUUGAACGCUGGCGGCAUGCCUUACACAUGCAAGUCGAACGGCAGCACGGAGCUUGCUCUGGUGGCGAGUGGCGAACGGGUGAGUAAUAUAUCGGAACGUACCCAAGAGUGGGGGAUAACGUAGCGAAAGUUACGCUAAUACCGCAUACGAUCUAAGGAUGAAAGCAGGGGCUCGCAAGACCUUGUGCUCCUGGAGCGGCCGAUAUCUGAUUAGCUAGUUGGUGAGGUAGAGGAUCACCAAGGCAUCGAUCAGUAGCUGGUCUGAGAGGACGACCAGCCACACUGGAACUGAGACACGGUCCAGACUCCUACGGGAGGCAGCAGGGGGGAAUUUUGGACAAUGGGGGCAACCCUGAUCCAGCAAUGCCGCGUGAGUGAAGAAGGCCUUCGGGUUGUAAAGCUCUUUUGUCAGGGAAGAAACGGUCGUGGCUAAUAUCCAUGGCUAAUGACGGUACCCGAAGAAUAAGCACCGGCUAACUACGUGCCAGCAGCCGCCGUAA